rnacentral:misc_RNA from 1 species
GCCAUGCAGUGUAUGCUGUUGUGAUUCAAAAUUUAUUUUGCAUUAGUAAUUGAAGGAUCAAGUAAUGAGUUACCAAAAAACAGUUGCCAUGCCGUCUCUUUUGUUCCUCAAAUUCCACUUUUUGAAUAACAAAACUAAUAUGAUAAAUUCAUAAAAUUUCUCAAGCACUAUUUUUUAUUGCUAACCGUUGGUGCACUUUCUUUUAGAUAUUUCUUCUUCAGUCAGUUUAAAAAUGACAAAGCGUGUCUGCUAAAAAUAUUUCUGGAUAUAGCGCCAAUAUUAACGUAAAAGGAAA